AUUGAACGCUGGCGGCAGGCCUAACACAUGCAAGUCGAGCGGAGCGGCGGACGGGUGAGUAAUGCCUAGGAAUCUGCCUGGCAGUGGGGGAUAACGUCCGGAAACGGGCGCUAAUACCGCAUACUCUCAGUUGAGCUUAGGCCUGAUUAGCUAGUUGGUGGUGUAAAGGCCUACCAAGGCGACGAUCCGUAACUGGUCUGAGUGGAUGAUCAGUCACACUGGAACUGAGACACGGUCCAGAUUCCUACGGGAGGCAGCAGUGGGGAAUAUUGAACAAUGGGCGAAAGCCUGAUCCAGCCAUGCCGCGUGUGUGAAGAAGGUCUUCGGAUUGUAAAGCACUUUAAGUUGGGAGGCGUUACCAACAGAAUAAGCACCGGCUAACUUCGUGCCAGCAGCCGCGGUAAUAC
rnacentral:rRNA from 1 species